UAGGUAGGGUAUAGGUAUGGGUAGGGAAUACAUAUGGAAAAACUGGAAGAGAUAUAGUGAGUUAUAGGAGAUUUUUCUUUGUAUCUCCCAUACAAAGAAAAAGAAGGAAUUUACAGGAGAUGAUUAUAAGAAGUUUUAGUUAUAUGGAGGGUCUAUACUAGGCUGUAGUACAGGUUCUUUUGAAUACAUGUAAAACAACACAAGAAAUAUGGUAACGGUAGUGACAUUUUAUCACCUGGUUUUAUUGCAAUAUAUGUAUAAUAUAAUGUUAAAUAAUUAUACGCUGGCUGUUGCUCUGGAUGACACAUUGACAUGAUUUAUAUAGUUGUAUAAACAUCUUUUCACAGUUGUAAUUCAGUGGCAGUCAGUCCCUCGGUUGCAAACACAACAUGGCACAAAAGGAGAGACUUAUCCCAGACCUCCAGACAGUGUGAAGGCAAAACAAGGAUCCUUAAAGUGCACACCUGGAAUCCUGCGCCGAGACACGUCCCCACCACCGGUACAUUCCUCCCCCAGAGACAAGACUCUGCCCAUCUCCGAGCAGCUACUGCUGAUGGAACGGGUUUGAAGUGCUGACAUCUAAAGGGACAGCUACAUAGUGUUACCUCUGAUCUUCUCUAGUGCAGAAGUGGUUCAUCACCCUAAAAGGGGCCCUCUGUCUUCCCUAGUCACGGGGGGUAAAUUCUCUCCAAACUUUGGUGCAUUCAAUCAUGUUCCUCUGCUCCAAACUGCAGAAUCCCUGCCAUGUCUGUAUAAAAGAGGCUGUAGAUUUUAGAAUGAGCCCUGUCUGCCCCUAUUUGGUGCUGUAUGGGAAAUAAGACGUAUCUCCUAAGCAGCACCAAAGGCAGGAUUUGAUAUGACUGGGCAGUGAUGUACGUAUCCUUGGGUAUAUUAAAAAAAAAACUAGGAAAACAUUUAAAAAUAAAAAUUGCCCAGCAACUUUUACUGCAAAUUUUAAUAGCCCAUUAUUGACUUGUUCGAUACAAAGCACUGAAAAAUACAUUAAAUGGAAGGGGUAUAUGACAUGUAUACAAAAUCAAAACAACAACAAUAAUAAUAAUUAAUCGGAUACUUUCAUACUGAAUCAGAGUGUCCUGGGCCUGUAUAAGUAUAAAUAAAAAUACAAAGGAUUUGUGAUAGUGGUACUGGAAGAUAUUAUGUAUACAAGGGUGUGAUCUCAGCUUAUGCCAAGAGGUUUGAAGUAAAAAGGCUUAGAAUCAUGGCACAUGGGGCACUUUGACCGGUGAGCAUGAGCCGUAUAUCCCUGUUGGGUUUUGUAAACAUUAUAAAGGCAAAAGUCCAAGUUCAGAAUCUCUCUAAGGAUCAGAAUUUUUUUUUAAAAAUCCUAAAAAAGGUCCUAGCUUGAGCAAGCCCAAGCUUGAGAAGGUCCUAGCUUGAGCAAGCCCAAGCUCGAGAAGGUCCUAGCUUGAGCAAGUCCAAGCUUGAGAAGACCAUAGCUUAAGCAAGUGCAAGCUUCAGAAGACCAUAGCUUGAGCAAGUCCAAGCUUCAGAAGAUCCUUUUUGAGCAAGUUAAGCUAAACAAGGUUCUAGCUUGAACAAGUCCAAGCUUGAGAAGGUUCUAGCUUGAGAAAUCAUGAUACCAAAUGAAUUGACAAAAUUGUGCAUGAUAUGUAUGUACACAAGGAAUUAAAUAUCUGUAUACACCCAUCAGUCUUUUGAC